rnacentral:rRNA from 1 species
AUCCUGCCGGAGGCCAUUGCUAUCGGUGUCCGAUUUAGCCAUGCGAGUCGCACGUAUAACGUGGCAAACGGCUCAGUAACACGUGGUCGAACUACCCUACGGACCGUGAUAACCUCGGGAAACUGAGGCUAAUAACGGAUAGUGCUCCCGAGCUUGAAUGCUGGGAGCGCGAAAGCUCCGGCGCCGUAUGAUGUGACUGCGGCCGAUUAGGUAGACGGUGGGGUAACGGCCCACCGUGCCGAUAAUCGGUACGGGUUGUGAGAGCAAGAACCCGGAGACGGACUCUGAGACAAGAGUCCGGGCCCUACGGGGCGCAGCAGGCGCGAAACCUUUACACUGCACGCAAGUGCGAUAGGGGGACACCGAGUGCGAGGGCAUAGAGCCCUCGCUUUUGUGUACCGUAAGGUGGUACACGAAUAAGGGCUGGGCAAGACCGGUGCCAGCCGCCGCGGUAACACCGGCAGCCCAAGUGAUGGCCGCUAUUAUUGGGCCUAAAGCGUCCGUAGCCGGCCGUACAGGUCCGUCGGGAAAUCCACUGGCUUAACUAGUGGGCGUCCGGCGGAAACCGUU